rnacentral:antisense_RNA from 1 species
AUGCCUGUGCCCAAGUGGGGAAUCUGGAGCCAGUAAGACCGUUCGUGCAUAAAUGUAAUCCUCGGCCGCAGAAUAAACCAGCUCGGAGCCUGCAGCUGGGUUCAUCAAGGUUUGCGCAGUGGAUCCGCGAAUGAAGCCAGCCUGGAAGAUCCCCAUUCUCGAGACAGAGCCUGACAGGGGCAGAUGCUCUGGAAGGACCCUGUCUGGGUUUAGCAACCAAGCAGCCAUCCUGGCCCCACAGGUGUGGGACCAGCAACCAAGCAGCCAUCCUGGCCCCACAGGUGUGGGACUUCUGGGUCUUCUCCUGGCUGGCUUCUUGCUAGAGGACUUCAAGAGACCCAGCAAGACUGUAUUGUCCCACUGAAUGCUCAAAAUAUUGGUUAGAAGUAGAAAAGGGGAGGGGGUAGUAUUUAGCCUCUGUC